rnacentral:rRNA from 1 species
GACGAACGCUGGCGGCGCGCUUAACACAUGCAAGUCGAACGGAAAGGCCUGCUUUCCCUUGUGGAUUGCGGGUACUCGAGUGGCGAACGGGUGAGUAACACGUGAGUGAUCUGCCCCCAACUUGGGUAUAAGCCUGGGAAACUGGGUCUAAUUCCCGAUAGGACUGCAGGGUGGUGCCUGUGGUGGAAAACGAUUUUCUAGUGGUUGGGGAUGAGCUCGCGGCCUAUCAGCUUGUUGGUGGGGUAAUGGCCUACCAAGGCGGCGACGGGUAGCCGGCCUGGGAGGGUGGACGGCGACAUUGGGACUGAGAUACGGCCCAGACUCCUACGGGAGGCAGCAGUGGGGAAUAUUGCGCAAUGGGCGGAAGCCUGAUGCAGCGACGCCGCGUGGGGGAUGACGGCCUUCGGGUUGUAAACUCCUUUCGACCGCGAGGAAGCCACCUGGUUGGAAGGGUGGUGACGGUAGUGGUAGAAGAAGCACCGGCUAACUACGUG